rnacentral:rRNA from 1 species
CAGUCGCCACGGUAAUACCGAGGAUGCAAGCGUUAUCCGGAAUGAUUGGGCGUAAAGCGUCUGUAGGUGGCUUUUCAAGUCCGCCGUCAAAUCCCAGGGCUCAACCCUGGACAGGCGGUGGAAACUACCAAGCUGGAGUACGGUAGGGGCAGAGGGAGUUUCCGGUGGAGCGGUGAAAUGCGUUGAGAUCAGAAGGAACACCAACGGCGAAAGCACUCUGUUGGGCUGACACUGACACUGAGAGACGAAAGCUAGGGGAGCAAAUGGGAUUAGAUACCCCCGUAGUCCCUGUCUCUUAUAC